UACAUAAUCCCUCCAUCCCAUAUUAAGUGACUUUCUAUGACAUGUAUCUAAACGCUUUUUAGGCAUAGAUACAUUCAUAUUUGGACAAAUUUGAGUCGUUUAAUAUGGGACGGAGGGAGUAGAAU
rnacentral:pre_miRNA from 1 species